GACGAACGCUGGCGGCGUGCUUAACACAUGCAAGUCGAACGGAAAGGCCCUGCUUUUGUGGGGUGCUCGAGUGGCGAACGGGUGAGUAACACGUGAGUAACCUGCCCUUGACUUUGGGAUAACUUCAGGAAACUGGGGCUAAUACCGGAUAGGAGCUCCUGCUGCAUGGUGGGGGUUGGAAAGUUUCGGCGGUUGGGGAUGGACUCGCGGCUUAUCAGCUUGUUGGUGGGGUAGUGGCUUACCAAGGCUUUGACGGGUAGCCGGCCUGAGAGGGUGACCGGCAACAUUGGGACUGAGAUACGGCCAAGACUCCUACGGGAGGCAGCAGUGGGGAAUAUUGCACAAUGGGCGGAAGCCUGAUGCAGCAACGCCGCGUGCGGGAUGACGGCCUUCGGGUUGUAAACCGCUUUCGCCUGUGACGAAGCGGGAGUGACGGUAAUGGGUAAAGAAGCACCGGCUAACUACGUG
rnacentral:rRNA from 1 species